GGCGCUAUAGCCAAGUGGUUACGGCGACAGAUUAGAAUAUAACACUUGAUCUGUUCCUCUUUGAGGGCGCAGGUUCGAAUCCUGCUGGCGUCG